rnacentral:snRNA from 1 species
GUGCUCGCUUUGGCAGCACAUAUACUAAAAUUGGAACGAUGCAGAGAUUAGCAUGGCCCCUGCUCAAGGAUGACAUGCAAAUUCGUGAAGCGUUCCAUAUUUUU